rnacentral:tRNA from 1 species
GCCCCCGUUGUGUAGCGGCUCUAGCACGCCGCCCUCUCAAGGCGGUAGCGCCGGUUCGAAUCCGGUCGGGGGUA